CAGUAGCCGCGGUAAUACGAAGGGUGCAAGCGUUACUCGGAAUUACUGGGCGUAAAGCGUGCGUAGGUGGUGGUUUAAGUCCGUUGUGAAAGCCCUGGGCUCAACCUGGGAAUUGCAGUGGAUACUGGGUCACUAGAGUGUGGUAGAGGAUAGUGGAAUUUCCGGUGUAGCAGUGAAAUGCGUAGAGAUCGGAAGGAACAUCUGUGGCGAAGGCGACUAUCUGGGCCAACACUGACACUGAGGCACGAAAGCGUGGGGAGCAAACAGGAUUAGAUACCCGUGUAGUCCCUGUCUCUUAUAA
rnacentral:rRNA from 1 species